CUGCCUACGGGACGCAGCAGUGGGGAAUCUUGCACAAUGGGCGAAAGCCUGAUGCAGCGACGCCGCGUGGGCGAAGAAGGCCUUUGGGCCGUAAAGCCCUGUCGGGAGGGAAGAAGGAAGCGACGGUACCUCCCAAGGAAGCCCCGGCUAACUACGUGCCAGCAGCCGCGGUAACACGUAGGGGGCGAGCGUUAUCCGGAUUUACUGGGUGUAAAGGGAGCGCAGGCGGUGCGGCAAGUCUGAUGUGAAAGUCCGGGGCUCAACCCCGGGACUGCAUUGGAAACUACCGAACUAGAGUGUCGGGG
rnacentral:rRNA from 1 species